rnacentral:rRNA from 1 species
GAUGAACGCUGGCGGCGUGCCUAAUACAUGCAAGUCGAGCGAACAGAUGAGGAGCUUGCUCCUCUGACGUGAGCGGCGGACGGGUGAGUAACACGUGUAUAACCCACUUAUAAUACUGGGAUAACUUCGGGAAACCGGAGCUAAUACCGGAUAAGAUAUUGAACCGUGGGGUUCAAUGGUGAAAUACGGUUGUUCUGUCACUUAUAGAUGGAUCUGCGCCGCAUUGGCUAGUUGUGAAGGUAAAGGCUUUCCAAGGCUACGAUGCGUAGCCGACCUGAGAGAGUGAUCGGCCACCCUGGAGCUGGAACACGGUCCAGAGUCCUACGGGAGGCAGCAGUAGGCAAUCUUCCGCAAUGGGCGAAAGCCUUACGGAGCAGCGCCACGUGAGAGAUGAAGGUCUUCGGAUCGUAAAACUCUGUUAUUAGGGGAGAACAGAUGUGUAAGUAACUAUGCACGUCUUGACGGUAACUAAUCAGAAAGCCACGGCUAACUACGUG